rnacentral:lncRNA from 1 species
ACGUGUGAGCACGUGUGAAGGAGGGAAGAUUGGUAGAUUCAUGUGGCCUUGUUAAUGAUUGAGUAAUGAUGGAAAUGGAUCCAAAAUAAAAAGUGACUUCUCUACCAAAGCAAUAGAAGAUUCUUCAUAUCACCCUCCAUUGCUGAAUUCAUUUUUGAAGAAGAUGCAAAACAAGUGAAAUACAGAAAACUGAAGAGAAGAAAACCUCAUUUUGGAACUUUCUCCUUGACUAUUCCUAACCCCCUCUUUCUACUUGUUUUAAUUUUGUUCUGAAUUUAUAAAUAUUGAAGACCAAAGAAAUAGAAUAUAUAUUUAGGAGCUUUAUACCAA